rnacentral:misc_RNA from 1 species
AACGCACCUUGCGCUCCUUGGUAUUCCGAGGAGCAUGCCUGUUUGAGUGUCAUGAAAUCUUCAACUUACAGACCUUUGCGGGUUUGUAGGCUUGGACUUUGGAGGCUUGUCGGCCGUGUUUUGGUCGGCUCCUCUUAAAUGUAUUAGCUUGAUUCCUUGCGGAUCGGCUCUCGGUGUGAUAAUGUCUACGCCGCGACCGUGAAGCGUUUUGGCGAGCUUCUAACCGUCUCGUUUGUGAGACAGCUUUAUGACCUCUGACCUCAAAUCAGGUAGGACUACCCGCUGAACUUAA